GAUCAUGGCUCAGAUUGAACGCUGGCGGCAGGCCUAACACAUGCAAGUCGAGCGGAUGAAGAGAGCUUGCUCUCUGAUUCAGCGGCGGACGGGUGAGUAAUGCCUAGGAAUCUGCCUGAUAGUGGGGGACAACGUUUCGAAAGGAACGCUAAUACCGCAUACGUCCCACGGGAGAAAGCAGGGGACCUUCGGCCGUUGCGCUAUCAGAUGAGCCUAGGUCGGAGUUAG
rnacentral:rRNA from 1 species